UGCUUGCAGCCUUCUGAAAUGAGGUGAUGUUACUGUGUAUGGGUAGGUGCCUGGAGCCCUCUGAUGGUGCAUGGUGUUACUCUGUGAGGGUGAAUACCUAAAGCCUUCUGAAAUUGUGUCCUGGUGCUCUGUGCAUUGUGGCCAUCUUGACUAUGACAUAUGCUGUGAUAGUAGCCUGGUGCAGGACUUUCUACUUCUCCUUUUUGAACUUCACAUGAUUCCUGUCCACUCCUUCUACAGGCAGCCUCUGAAUGCUGCUUUUUGCUCAAGAAACUUUUCAAAUCAGCUCUACAGACCAAACUCUUCUGAUUUUUUCCUAGAAUAUGUAAAGAAUAUGUGCAAAUUUACCGUACCCUCAAAUACAACCACAAGGCUCCAGGAGCUGUUGAAGAGAGGGCAGAGUGCUCUGUGGACUGCAUACUAUGGCAUCUACUACGAUUCUGAGUAUAAUGGAAUGAAAAGCCCAACAAAUCAAUUAUUUUUCAGGUCUGUCAAGCUUUAGCUCCUCAUAUAAUCAAUACAGAGAAAAAAAAAUAUUACAAUAAAUAAAAUAACUAUAAUUUCUUCACAACUAUGACUCUCUCACAAGAGAUGGUUUGAAGACAUUUUAGUGUUUCUAUUACAGGUCACUCUACAGAAUCUGAUCAUUUUUAGUUAUUGAUUUUUACCCAGUCUUAUGCUGUUUUCUGAAGAAAGCAAUAAAUUCCCAAUGAAUUAUAAUCCAA